rnacentral:misc_RNA from 1 species
GAUGAAGAACGUAGCGAAAUGCGAUAAGUAAUGUGAAUUGCAGAAUUCAGUGAAUCAUCGAAUCUUUGAACGCAUCUUGCGCUCCUUGGUAUUCUGAGGAGCAUGCCUGUUUGAGUGUCAUUAAAUUCUCAACUACACUGACUUUGAAUUGGUGUGGCUUGGAUUUGGGGGGAAAAUUGUUGUGGGCUUUUUGUAUAGUCUGCUCCCCUGAAAUUGAUUAGCGGUACCUUUGUGGAACUGUCUACAGGUGUGAUAAUUAUCUACAUCUUAGACAUCUGCUGGACUGCUGCUUUCUAAACCUUACUUGUAUUGACAAUCUUGACCUCAAAUCAGGUAGGACUACCCGCUGAACUUAAGCAUAUCAAUAAGCGGAGGA